rnacentral:rRNA from 1 species
GGGAUAACUUCGGGAAACCGGANCUAAUACCGGAUAAUAUUUCNAACUGCAUGGUUCGAUAGUGAAAGAUGGCUUUGCUAUCACUUAUAGAUGGACCUGCGCCGUAUUAGCUAGUUGGUAAGGUAACGGCUUACCAAGGCAACGAUACGUAGCCGACCUGAGAGGGUGAUCGGUCACACUGGAACUGAGACACGGUCCAGACUCCUACGGGAGGCAGCAGUAGGGAAUCUUCCGCAAUGGGCGCAAGCCUGACGGAGCAACGCCGCGUGAGUGAUGAAGGUCUUCGGAUCGUAAAACUCUGUUAUUAGGGAAGAACAAACGUGUAAGUAACUGUGCACGUCUUGACGGUACCUAAUCAGAAAGCCACGGCUAACUACGUGCCAGCAGCCGCGGUAAUACGUAGGUGGCAAGCGUUAUCCGGAAUUAUUGGGCGUAAAGCGCGCGUAGGCGGUUUUUUAAGUCUGAUGUGAAAGCCCACGGCUCAACCGUGGAGGGUCAUUGGAAACUGGAAAACUUGAGUGCAGAAGAGGAAAGUGGAAUUCCAUGUGUAGCGGUGAAAUGCGCAGAGAUAUGGAGGAACACCAGUGGCGAAGGCGACUUUCUGGUCUGUAACUGACGCUGAUGUGCGAAAAGCGUGGGGGAUCAAACAGGAUUAGAUACCCUGGUAGUCCACGCCGUAAAACGAAUGAGUGCUAAGUGUUAGGGGGGUUUCCGCCCCUUA